rnacentral:pre_miRNA from 1 species
AGCCUCCUCUUCAGCGCUGUAAUGCCAUGUUCCUGCAUCUGCACCUGCACCACACUUCUACGAGAGAAUGUGCAGAAGUCAGAGCGGUGUUGUGCGAAUCCUGCUCUCAGUCAAUUGCUGGGAUUGCGUUUCUCCAAUCUUCUUUCUCUGGGCUUUUCUCUGGCAUUGUGGUGGUGUAGGUGCUUAUGCAGAAAUAUUGCCUUGCAGCUUGCAGUUACUAGU